GAUAUGGGGGGGAUUGAGCUUCCUGGGUUCCAGGCUGUUGUUACUGCUUCCUUCUCCGUUGUGGUCUGAGGUCCCAGGAUAAGCAGCUGCAGCUCCCCUCAGCAACGUCUGAUUGUAGCCAGUCCUUGUUAAAACUCCUGUGGGGCUCAGCUGAGGAGGGUAUUUACUCUGGUAACUGGACCUAGCCCUCUAGGGCAGCCCUGGACUUUGCUGACACCCACUCCUGAGUCAAAACGCCUCCAGAGCUUUCUUAUGGAGCACGAGAUGGUGUAAUGAGGCACACUGGACGCAGAGGAAAAACAAAGCCUGAGAGUUGCGUGCACAGCAGAUGAUAGGACGGUGAUUGACAAGGAAGGGAACUCUCAGCAGGAGACAAAGCUGUAUGAGAUGUUUUCAUGCAGAUCUCAAGAGAAGGUUUCCCAGCAUCCUGAGCAGGCAGUGACCUAUGAGAAGCGAUGCAAGCCAGAAGGUCAGGAAUACCGCCUUAUAGAAGAUCCACCAGACAAGCCUAUGUCCACCAUGAGAGAUUGCAGGGAGGCCAAACCCCAUUCAAGAAACUACAUGGCAGAGGAACCCUUUAACUGCACUCACUGCAGGCAAAGCUUCAGUGGGAGCUCAGACCUCCUUGUACAUCAGACUUCAUAUUGGAGACAAACCCUAUAAAUGCGUGGAGUGUGGGGAAAUCUUUAAUAGGAGAUCCUUCUUGAUCCUGCACCAGAGAAUCCAUGCUGCAGAGAAACCCUAUGAGUGCCCUGGCUGCAGGAAGAACUUCAGUAUGAGAUCAACCCUGAUCAAACACUAGAGGAUCCACACAGGAGAGAAACCCCACAGAUGCCACGAGUGUGGGAAAAACUUCUGCCUGAGCUCCAUGCUCAGCAUGCACCAGCAAAUCCACACGGGAGAGAAGCCCUACGAGUGCCUGGGGUGUGGGAAGAGCUUCUGAGUGAGCUCCUAUCUUGCCCAUGGGGCAACGCACCAUGCAGACAAACCCUUUAGAUGCCCCAACUGCGGGAAACACUUCAGCAUGAGUCGAGCCCUUAUCGUGCACCAGAGAAUCCACGCGGGAGAGAGACCCUUUAAAUGUAUGGACUAUGAGAAAUGCUACACUCACCUUAUUACCUACUGGAGGAGCCAUGCGGGUGAGAAGUCCUACCACUGCCCAGACUGUGGAAAGAGCUUCAGCAACAGCUCAGACCAUCUUAGACACCUGAGAAUCAACAUGGAGGAGAAACCCUACCACUGCCUGGACUGCGGGACGAGCUUCCGCCUGAGCUCACACCUCACCGGACACCAGAGAAGCCACAUGGAGGAAAGACUCUACAAGUGCCUGGUCUGCGGGGAAAGCUACACUGACAGCUCAGGCCUUAUUAAACACAAAUGGAUCCACACAGGAGAGAAACAGAGGCCAGUAAUGGUUACACUGCAGGGAACCCACGCAAGAGAGGGAUGUUAUCAGUGUCCUGACUGUGGGAAAGCCUUCACUGUGAAGUUAGUCCUUAUUAAACACAAGACCAUACACACAGGGGAGAAACCCUAUAACUGUCCCAAGUGUGAGAAAAGCUUUAGUCACAGCUCAGCUCUCAUGAAACAUCAGAGAAUCCAAAUGGGUGAGAGACUCUUUAAAUGCCCCGAGUGCGGCAAGAGGUACAACGACAGCUCAACUCUUGUAAGACACAGGAGAAUCCACUCGGAAGUCCGGCCUUAUAAAUGUCCCACCUGUGUGGAGGCUUCUGUGUGAACUCAGCCCUUAUUAGACACCAAAGUAUCCAUGCUGAGGACAGACCCUUUCCUCUGUCAUGGUUUGGCCCCAUUCAGAUCUCUGGGACUGUGGGAUCUAUGGCUGGCAAUGGAGGGGACAUUGAGAAAUUGAGGAUCCAUGAGGCAUGAUGGCAGGGGGAUUGGGCUAGGCAGGAGCAGUGGGGGCCAACCUUUUUGGCAGGCAUCCACAAAUUAGUCCUGCACUUUCCCCAAGAGUCAUUCUGAUUCCCUUCCCCUGCCCCAUCUGCUGCUCUGCUUUUUGCCCCAUCCUCCAUCUGCUGCUGCGCUGCAUGUCCUGUUCCAGAUUUGCAUUGUGCCACAGAGACUGCCUGUUCCACUUGUGGCACGUGUGCUGCCUGCUGGCACCCCUGAGCAGGAGAAUGGAAUAAUUGGAAGAUGGUGUUGCUGGAUGGUCACAAUCUACGGGAGAGGAAACUUUGAAAGGAAUAUGUGCUAAACUGGAAAAAGCAGCUGUUAUUUCAUAAGUGGGAGUUAGUCCAACUUAACCAAACCAAUGUAAUUAAACUAAAGUGUUGUUUUACCAUUUAUGUCCCCUACGUAGACAAGCCCUUACUCAGAAAACAAGUAAAAUUCACUGCCAGAAGCUUAAGUAACUCAAGAGAUAUAGUUGCCAACAAGUCAUGCUUUUUCAAACUGUGAUGAGUACAGUACUAGUUUAAAUUACUGGAAAUCAGGAAACACAGACAUAUGGUAUCGUCUACUACUCCACAUGGAGGUUUGGGGAGUAGGGGCGGGGGGUGUGUGUGGUUAUAAUAGAGCACCAGCAAUUGUCAGUCAGUUAGCAUUGAUCUUUAGGAAGCCUGGACUGGUUUUCAGAAUUAAAAAUAGGAUUUGCAAUUGUUAGGAUCACACUUCAUAUCCCAUGAACCUUUAACUUAAUAUCUGUCAGUGGGCUCAUAGAUUGAAAGCGCUUUCUAACAUCCAACCUAAAUUUCUUUUGCUACAGCUUGAGACCAUUGCUCCUAGUCCUAUGGCCACAGAGAACAAUCAGUCUUCAUCUUUUCUAUAAUUGCCCUUCAGGUAUUUGAAGACUGUUAUCAAAUCCCCCUGUCCUCCUUAUCUACCUCUUUGCAAUGCCACUGCUAUGGCAAUAGAGAAAGAAAAAGUAUAAGAUAUUCACUGAAUUGUAAAUCUCUGUACCAGAGGUGAUAAAAUCAGUGUUUUUUUCUUUUUAGGAAUCCCCUACAUCUAGCCUCUUCCAUGUCCAUGGUAAACUUGGAAGUGUCCUAAGUAGCAUCAGAUGAUUUAGCCAAAGGGUCAGCAGUCUUAAAGCAAUGGUGAACUGAAUUAAUUCAGCUUGGUUAAAAGGUGGGCUACCAUUGCUGGCUGCCACUAAUUUCUUUUAACACUGACAUCAGUUUUCUCCAUUGCUGCCACCCUGGCUUGGCAGACUGGAUAAAAUGUCUUCACAGUUGCUAACCCCUGAUUUAGACAUUAAUACUUCUCACACUUGCUCGUGGCUGAUGCCAUUAUUGAUACUGCAAGCCAGGAAAUGAUUCUAACUCUCUUUCUUGACUGUGUCUGCUGUUACAGCAAAAGUGCCUUUCCUUCAAACAAACCUCUUGUUAAACCCCACAGUACCUACAUCUUGAGAGGCUAAGGAUGACAGAAAUAGAGGAGCAUGGGGCAAGAUGCAGAAAGCUUAACUAGCAGUUGUUCAUUUGCAUAUUUAGAGAACAAGAAAGAACUACAUUUGCACAAAAGCAUACAAAUGGCCUGGCUACUGUUUGGAGCAGGGGAUGGUGGGUCAGGAUGACUUGGAGCUUGUAGGUGAAGAGACACAUGAUUGGAAGAUGUUGAGGGUUAAGCUGACUUAUUUUGCCAUCUAUUGGCAGUACUUUACUGCAAAUCCUGUGGCAUUUUAAUAAGUGCUAUUAAACCUAUUCUGAAAGCUGGUUUAUGGAGGUGUGAGAUGAGUUUAUCUGCAGCAAAAGAGGUAUGCACACAUUCCCUUGCUAAUUUAGUGCUUUGUGUCAUUUAUCCCAUACUAUUCUGCAGUCAAGCUUUAUGUUUCAGAGCAGUCGAAUACUGAGGGCCUGGAUUUCACUGCCCUCAGGGCCCUUCUAAAAGGCAGCCGCUUGUCAUAGCCAUACAAGAAGAUUACAUACUGAAUACACAUUAGGAGCAAACUUAGUACCCCAGGCAAGGCCACAGAAGGGGCUUCUGCAGAGCUAACAUCUUCUGUUUAAACAAGGCACUGGAUGUUACUUUUGCUGAGGACCCCACUACUCAACUAUACAUUUUGCAGACUCUCCAACUUGUCCUAAACUGUUCCCUCCGCCCCAAGGCUUCGGUAAAUCCCAGGGCAGGACACUCUAACAGAGACCCAGAACCCCAAAUCACAACCAGAGGGUCAUCUGGGAUCUCAGCUAUACAGAGUGGAGAGGGACCAAAUCCACAAGUGUCUGACACAGGGAUGCACAGCAUACAGGUUGCAUGUGAUCCUCCCAGAACAGUUUCAGUGAUCCCCCCAAAAUAUUUAUUAAACCACCUUAUUAGAGGAAAAAGGAUUUGAAAACAAAGCAGUGGCACCUUGUGUUCUCACUAUGUGGUGAGUUGUUAUCUAUUCCUGCACCCGUAUGUAUAGCCCAAUUUUCUGCUUGCAAGUGUGCUGAUGCCUCCUAGCCUCUGAGAGAGCACCCCAUUAGUGGUGACCAGAAAGUGAAGUUUGAGUUGCACAACCCUUUUCUGAUGUAUUGCAAUACAACCAUCUAGGGGAGGGUUAUAUUCCCUGGUAAAUAAUAGAAAGACCCUGCCAUCUUGGUCUGGCCCUGAUACUCUGUAUAGGAGAUGUCUACCUUCUCUCUGCCUCCUGUAAAUUUAAUGUCUCUAGUUCAAUUACACCACCAUGGCAUGAAACAGCAGCUGCACUGGAGAAUGAAGAAAAUCUUUGCCUCAUUUUCUAUUUUUCAAUAUAUCCAAAUACACAAACACCCAUAAGCUUUCUGGCUAACACUGUCCUGCUCCAUCCCUUGCCACUUAUUGCUGUCUUCUGUGCCCAAUCACUCCUGCAACUGCUUAACGCAAUAGCAGCACUACGUGCGUGAACAUGGAGAUGGUUUGAAGUGGAGGCAUUUUUACUGAACCAGUAGAUACAGAUAAGAGCAAGCACCAAAACAAUGUUUGCAACUCAAGAGUUUUAGAUUUGAGCCAACAUGGUGUAGUAUCAGGUAAAUUGCCCAGAUCCCAUUAAGCAUGCAAUCCAGAAAUUCUAAGGCCUGCCAAGGAAUCCAUUGCCUUUUUGGCAAGUGUGAAAUACUAUUUAUUGUGUAUGUAGGGCAAAUCGUGCUGGUCUCUGGCUGUUAUAAAAGAGCUAAAGAAAACACCCUUAGUUUGGAAAGGAGAUUGGAAAGCAAUAGAGCUAUUUUAUCACUGCUUGUGCAUUACAUACAAAGACCCACUUUCAUUUAUCUCCCUUUGCUUCCCAGAGCAUCAGAGCCAGGUAUUGUGGGAGAGGCAGAUACAUCGUUAUAAUUACUGAUUCAGGGAGACAAGGCCAACUAUCAAGCCAAAAAAUAAAACCACAGGCUGAAUUCAAUGGUUCUGUGGGCUGGAUCCAGCAGGCCAUUAGUUGCUGAACCCUGCCCUAAACCUUCCUACUUCUGGUGUGGCAUGGGCCCAUGGGGUUGAAAGAUGGGAUAGCCAAUCAUGGCAGGUGAGAGCGAGUCCUUUUAAGAGACCAGCCUUCACCUAGCAUGUGAGGAUGAGUCAUGAUAUAGCAGACUUGCUUUCUUUGCAAACAUAUUUGUCUCAAUAACUCCUGUGGUCUGACAGCUUGGAUUAUUGCUAAAGGAGAUGUGGUUGCUAUCUUUACUCUCCCCGCUCGGGAUUUAGGGGGUUGAGCUUCCUGGUUUGCUCCUUAAUGCUCCUUUCUUCGUGCUGCUCUGGGAGCCUGGGCUGAGCAGCUGCUGCCCUCCAGUGGAGUCUGUGCUGGAGAAAGCCCUUCAUUAAAGCCCUUUGGUGCCUAGUGAAGGUCUGGGGAUUGUCUCCGGUGGCUGGAAUCAGCCCCUUGGGGCACCCCCCGGCUCUGCGGACAUUAACUUCUGAGCUGGAGACUCCAGGUAGUGAAGAGAGACCUUGGGAAAAGUGCUGGGGGCAAGCAGAACAGGGACUUUCUAUACACACAGUCUCUCCUUGCUCAAUAAUUCUCCCCUGGGAUCGGCAAGGGGAAGGGCUGCUGUGUCACUGACACCAACGGGCUCUGACUCCUAGUAAUGCUGGUAGGAGCUGAUCUGGUUUAAAGAGAAAAAUGCCCUGGGGACAAGACAAAUCAAGUGUUCCAGCUAGAGGUGAUAGAAGAGGGGAAGCAGGAAGAAAGGGAGGGGGACACUGAAAAGGGAAGGAGAAGAAUAAAGCAGAAGUGAGAUUACUGGCUCCCAGUCCAGCUUGGAUCUGUUUCUUGUAAUCUCCCUGGCAGUCACUGUCCUGUGAACAAGAUGAGAGACAGAAGGGGAAAAAGCCAGACCCUGCUUCUGCCCCAUUUCAGUUCCCCCUUCAGAAAUCACUUCCUGAUGGCAGGGGUUGUUCCCAUCUCCCAUCCCUGACUGAAUGACUUGUUCCAGCAUCCCCAUAUUCUAUGUGCUCCCCACUUCCUUACCCAAGUGCUCAAGUCCCUUGUGGAAAAAGAACUAGACCCUCUGCUUUGAGGGACUGGCCACCAAAUUUCAGACCAUAUUAUUUUGUUCUGCCAUUUCACCUAAAAGAGUUUUUAACUUCUGACUAUGGGGAAUAACUCUGAUAUUGAAGUUUCCUUUUCAUUCCAGUAGAUGAUGGGAUGGUGAAUGAAAUGGAGGACAACUGUCCGCCGGGACUGGAACCGUACGGGUCAUUACUGGGCAUAUCCAAAGGGGGUGAUUCCCAAGGACUGGCAUAAAUGGUGACCUGUGAGAGUCAGGCCAAGCCAAGCCAAGCCAAGCCAAGCCAGAAGGGUAGGAAAACACCAUGGAAGAGUUGUGGAAUGAAACCACUUCCCUUAGCAGAAGAGCUAUGGGGAAAGCCAAGGCUAGGAAAGCCCAAAAGAAAAUCCAGACACCAGGGAAAACCUAUAAGUGCCCAGAGUGUGGGAAAAGCUUUAAUAAGAGAUCAAUCCUUACAGUACAUUGGAGAAUCCACACUGGAGAGAAGCCCUUUAAAUGCCCUGAGUGUGGGAACAGCUUCAGUGUGAACUCGCACCUCGUCGCACAUCAGAGAAUCCACACUGGAGAGAAGCCCUACAAAUGCCAUGACUGUGGCAAAUGCUUCUGCCUGAGCUCCACCCUCAGUAUCCAUCACAAAAUCUAUACAGGAGAGAAGCCCUGUGAGCGCCUUGUCUGCGGAAAGAGCUUUCGAGUGAGCUCCUACCUUCUUGCCCAUGGGGCAACGCACAGUGCAGGCAACCCUAAUAAAUGCCCUGACUGCAGGUAACACUUCAGCUUUAGCCAAGACCUCAUUGUGCACCGGAGACUGCACAUGGGAGAGAGACCCUUUGAAUGUAUGGAGUGUGGGAAGAACUUCAAUUGGAGAUCAACCCUCAUAGUUCAUCAGAGAAUCCAUAUGGGGGUGAAACCCCAUAAAUGUCAUGAUUGUGGGAAAAGCUCUGUUGUAAGCUCAGGCGCAUUGCACACAAGAGAAUCCACACGGGGGAGAAACCCUACCACUGCCUGGACUGCAGAAAGAGCUGCCGCCUGAGCUCCCACCUCACCCGACACCAGAGAAGCCACACAGGGGAAAGACCCUACAAAUGUCUGGUCUGUGGGAAAAGUUAUGCUAGCACCUCAGGCCUUAUUAAACACAAGAGAAGCCACGCAGGAGAGAUACAUAGGCCAGCGCUUUCUUACACCUUAGGGAACCAAUGUGGGAGAGGGCCAUUAUUAGUUUCCCAAAUGUGCAGAAAGCUUCAGUGUGCAGUCACCCCAUCUAAAACACAAGCCAGUGAACAUGGAAGAGGAGCUGUAUCAAUGCCCUGAAUAUGUGGGCAGCUUCACCCACAACUCAGUCCUUACGAGAUAUCAGAGAAUCCACAUGGGAGAGAGACACUUUCGCUGCUCUGAAUAUGGGAAGCAGUUCGCUGGUGGCUCAGGCUUCAUUAGGCCCUAACAAGUCCACACAGAAGAGAGGUCCUGUAAAUGCCCAAGUGCAGGAAAGGGUUCUGGUCAAACUCACUGCUCAUUUGGCAUCAGAGUCCACACAGGCAAGAAACCCUACACAUGUCCUCUCUGUGAGAAAUGCUUUUGUUGGAGUUUGCACAUCAUUAGGCACCAGAGAAUCUACAGUCAAUAGAUGAUCAUCAAGUGUGUCUUCACAAGGCGCUAACUGUGCACUAGAAUUAGGCUAAUUCUACUGUGCAGUAUUGUGCAGGGCAAAAACCGUGCUAAUGUGCUACUGCACAGUAGUAUUAGGCUGUUGCACAGUUACUGUCACUAAAAAGCCAUGUGCCAGUGCUACUGCGCAGUAGCACCAGUUACUUCACAUUGAUUUAGUACUUGGUUAUGCAAGUACUAAGUAAACUUAAUGCACUGUAACUAUGGUGUACUAAUGAACAUGUAGACCAGUGGCUCCCAACCUUUUUUUUUUUCUGUGACCCUAAAUCCAGGUUGUGACCCUGUUCCCACUGCCAACUCACUUGUGCCCAGCAGCACCAGCAGAGCCCAGGCUGGGCUGGGAUUGUUGGGGGGUAGUGGUGGCAAAAGCCGUGCUGACCAUGUGCUGGGAGAGCCCCGCAGGCGGAAGGGGCGGAGUGAGGGGUGGAUCCCCUGCAACCCUGAUUUGGGUCUUGACCCAAGGUUGGGAGCCACUGGUGUAGACGUCCCUACUGUGGCAUAAUUUUUUUGUUCAUGAGUCUGCUACAUUCACCUUCUGGGAAUGAUGACCCAGAUACCACUGGGAUAGUGGGGUAGAGGAGGGAACCUUAAUACUGAUUGCCCCCAGGCUGCUUUCUUCUUGGGACCACUGAAUGCCCAAACGCUUGAUUCCACAGAGCAUACCCUCUGGGACAUUAUUGCCCCCCAAGGAGGCCUAUUUUUAGAGAGGGGGUUGGCACCUCAGGUUAAGUCUCCCUUCCAUGAACAUAUGUCUAAAUCCCGUCUGGGAAUAAUGGGAUCUAAGGUUAGCUCAGGAUGGGCUCUUGAGCACUGCCAGGUUGCAGUUCCUUGUAGCAUGCUGGUGGCAUGAGUCUGGGCAGGAGAGUGGAAUUUUUGGAAACUGGAUUGUAUCUGGAUGGCCAUAACUCCUGAGAGGAAGUUUGGGUGUUGGGGAUAGGACUAUUCUGACCCUAGGUGUGAGAGAGUAACUGUCCUGGACCCCAGAAGUUGUCAGUCUUCAACAGACUUCAAUCCAAGUGCCCUCCACUUCCAUCCAAUGCUUGUUCUGAUGUAGAACUUCAGCUGUGACUCCAGCACAUCCUAAAUGUAUGGGCAGUGGGAGAGCAGACUGCCCUGAUCUAAUUGUUGAUGUGAGAGUACUGCUGCAUCAUGCAGGGCUAGCAUUCCAGUAUGCAUUGUAUGAUUUUGGAAUAAGUAUUGCUUUCUGGUGUCCAUUAGUUGUGGAUGUAAAAGGUGUUAGAGGAUAUUAUCCAGGAUUUUGUUGUCAGUGUAAUGAUGGCAAAAGACACUGGAGACUUUUCCUUUCAGUCCUGUAUGAUGAAGAGUGUCCUGAUGUUGCCCUAACUCUCAUUAAGCAUAUAUAUUUUGUUUGUGUUUAACUGCAUCCUAUGACUUUCAUAAAAAUGCUUUCCCUAACAA